rnacentral:rRNA from 1 species
UGCCUUUUAAAUGAAGGCCCGUAUGAAUGGCAUAACGAGGGCUUAACUGUCUCCUCCUCCUAGUCAAUGAAAUUGAUCUCUCCGUGCAGAAGCGGGGAUAAAAACAUAAGACGAGAAGACCCUGUGGAGCUUUAGACCACAAACAGACCAUGUCAAAGAUAACGAUAAGUAACUCAAACAAAUUGGCUGCUGUUUUCAUGUCUUUGGUUGGGGCGACCGCGGGAUAAUAAAAAACUCCCAUGAGGAUAGAAAACACUAUUCUUACAACCAAGAGCUUCCUCUCUAAGUAACAGAACAUCUGACCUUUAUGAUCCGGCCUAGCCGAUCAACGGACCAAGUUACCCCAGGGAUAACAGCGCAAUCCUCUUUUAGAGUCCAUAUCGACAAGAGGGUUUACGACCUCGAUGUUGGAUCAGGACAUCCUAAUGGUGCAGCCGCUAUUAAGGGUUUGUUUGUUCAACAAUUAAAGU